CAUGCAGGCGGUUAGACAAGUCAGAUGUGAAAGCCCCGGGCUCAACCUGGGAAUUGCAUUUGAAACUGGGGAACUAGAGUGUGUGAGAGGGGGGUAGAAUUCCAAGUGUAGCGGUGAAAUGCGUAGAGAUUUGGAGGAAUACCAGUGGCGAAGGCGGCCCCCUGGCACAACACUGACGCUCAGGUGCGAAAGCGUGGGGAGCAAACAGGAUUAGAUACCCCCGUA
rnacentral:rRNA from 1 species